GUUAAAUUUUAUUUUGUCCAGUCUUAAUUUUUUUUUUAGGAGUGUUUUAUUUCAUGCUUCAGACUGUCUAACUCAGCGAACUUUUUGUCGUGAAAAGGCCAAGAGGCCAGAAGACAAGAGUGUCUGUAAUCUGGAAAGAUGCAGGUUAACGUUUGGGAAAAGGUACGGACCCUUCAGAUGGACUUAAGACACCUCGUGACCCAUCCGCUCGGCCUGACCGCACGUCCUCGGGCACUUGUACAUACAUACAUUGCUCUGUCCCUGCCCUUGCCUGCGUGUGCGUCGGUCCAGUCCACUGUAACUUGUUCCUUGUACUGUAUGUACUGUUGCUGUCGGUCCCUUGUACCAGUGAGACGACAGCACCAUUUUUUUUUAAAUUAUUGUCAAAACAUUUAACUGAUGUUGUACAAAGCUCACUCGACAUUUCCUUGUUUAAGGAAAAGCACUACAAAAAUCACGAGGAGGCCAAACUGAGACAGACGAAGGUGCCUCAGGGUCUGCCUGAGACCUCAGUGACACGGUAAUAAAGUCCUUACAAGGAAGCAACAA
rnacentral:lncRNA from 1 species